rnacentral:rRNA from 1 species
UGACCUCGGAUCAGGUAGGGAUACCCGCUGAACUUAAGCAUAUCAAUAAGCGGAGGAAAAGAAACCAACCGGGAUUGCCUCAGUAACGGCGAGUGAAGCGGCAAGAGCUCAAAUUUGAAAGCUGGCCCCUUCGGGGUCCGCGUUGUAAUUUGCAGAGGAUGCUUCGGGUGCGGCCCCUGUCUAAGUGCCCUGGAACGGGCCGUCAGAGAGGGUGAGAAUCCCGUCUUGGGCAGGGUGCCCGUGCCCGUGUGAAGCUCCUUCGACGAGUCGAGUUGUUUGGGAAUGCAGCUCUAAAUGGGUGGUAAAUUUCAUCUAAAGCUAAAUACCGGCCGGAGACCGAUAGCGCACAAGUAGAGUGAUCGAAAGAUGAAAAGCACUUUGAAAAGAGAGUUAAACAGCACGUGAAAUUGUUGAAAGGGAAGCGCUUGCGACCAGACUCGGCCCCGGGGUUCAGCCAGCACUCGUGCUGGUGUACUUCCCCGGGGGCGGGCCAGCGUCGGUUUGGGCGGCCGGUCAAAGGCCCCAGGAAUGUAUCGCCCUCCGGGGUUGUCUUAUAGCCUGGGGUGCAAUGCGGCCAGCCCGGACCGAGGAACGCGCUUCGGCACGGACGCUGGCGUAAUGGUCGCAAACGAC